GACGAACGCUGGCGGCGUGCUUAACACAUGCAAGUCGAACGGAAAGGCCCUGCUUUUGUGGGGUGCUCGAGUGGCGAACGGGUGAGUAACACGUGAGUAACCUGCCCUUGACUUUGGGAUAACUUCAGGAAACUGGGGCUAAUACCGGAUAGGAGCUCCUGCUGCAUGGUGGGGGUUGGAAAGUUUCGGCGGUUGGGGAUGGACUCGCGGCUUAUCAGCUUGUUGGUGGGGUAGUGGCUUACCAAGGCUUUGACGGGUAGCCGGCCUGAGAGGGUGACCGGCCACAUUGGGACUGAGAUACGGCCCAGACUCCUACGGGAGGCAGCAGUGGGGAAUAUUGCACAAUGGGCGGAAGCCUGAUGCAGCAACGCCGCGUGCGGGAUGACGGCCUUCGGGUUGUAAACCGCUUUCGCCUGUGACGAAGCGUGAGUGACAGUAAUGGGUAAAGAAGCACCGGCGAACUACGU
rnacentral:rRNA from 1 species